rnacentral:antisense_RNA from 1 species
UGAGACGUGGUCUUGUAACACAGUGGUUAAGAAUGUGACUUUGGAGCCAGCCUGCUAGGGGCUGAAUUCUGACUCAGCCAUUUAUUAACUGUGUGACCUUAGAUGGAGUCUCACUCUGUAGCCCAAGCUGGAGUGGCGUGAUCUCGACUCACUGCAACCUCCGCCUCCUGGGCUCAAGUGAUUCUCGUGCCUCAGCCUCCUGAGUAGCUGGGACUACAGGUCAUAGAAUUUUCCACACUCCUUGACGGAGGUUCUUAACCCUUAUCCAUCAGCAUUCUCAGACAGCACCUCCGGUUAGGGACAGUAUCUGACCGUCCGACAUCCCUGCAGCCCCCAUGCUGUCACACAGACUCAGCCUCAGGUAGAUGGUUUCCGUAGAUGGUGGCUUUCUUUGGACCCUUGAUAUCAACCAGUUACUAUUUGCCAGAGACAGACUCCCAGACUUGGCCAGAGGCUGAUGCCGACCCCUUCCAGCUCUCACGGUAACCAUGAGGCCCCUGCGUGUUUCUGUUGUGGAGGUCCCAGAGGGAACUGUGUGGACGGACACAGCCUGAAGGGCCAUCUGCCCCAAGCCACAGCAGCACAGGAUUCUAAAGACUGCGGGGAAGGAUGGGGCCAAGGGGACCAGAUGUGCAGAGGUAAUGAAUACCAGGGAAUCAGGAAACCACUGGAUCAGUUCUUUGAGCCAUAGAACAACACUCAUCCCAGCAGCUGGGAAGCUAUCUGCAAAAGUCCAUCUGCAGAAAGGGCUUCCUGGUCUUGCGUGUGGCUGGGCCAUUUCUCUGGAUGCAGGUUUUUCAUUAUACAGUCUUCUCAAAGGACCACCUGCUCUCAACACCUUCUCGGUGACUCCAUUUCCCCUCCUCU